GACAGCAUGGUGUAGUGGUUUGAGUGUUGGACUAGGACUCUGGAAAACAGGGUUCAAAUCCCUGCUCAGCCA
rnacentral:tRNA from 1 species